rnacentral:rRNA from 1 species
UCCAGACUCCUACGGGAGGCAGCAGUGAGGAAUAUUGGUCAAUGGGCUUACGCCUGAACCAGCCAAGUCGCGUGAGGGAAGACUGCCCUAUGGGUUGUAAACCUCUUUUGUCAGGGAGCAACGCCGGCUACGUGUAGCCGGACUGAGAGUACCUGAAGAAAAAGCAUCGGCUAACUCCGUGCCAGCAGCCGCGGUAAUACGGAGGAUGCGAGCGUUAUCCGGAUUUAUUGGGUUUAAAGGGUGCGAAGGCGGAAUGCAAAGUACGCGUUAAAUUCGCGGGGCUCAACCUCGCUCCGCCGUUGAAACUGGCGUUCUUGAGUGGGCGAGAAGUAUGCGGAAUGCGUGGUGUAGCGGUGAAAUGCAUAGAUAUCACGCAGAACUCCGAUUGCGAAGGCAGCAUACCGGCGACCAACUGACGCUGAAGCACGAAAGCGUGGGUAUCGAACAGGAUUAGAUACCCUCGUACA